rnacentral:lncRNA from 1 species
GUAAGUACCCACAUAGUACUUGGCAUGAGACUGUCCUUGCAAAUUAGAAAUACACCUGCAAAUACAUUUUAGAGAUGCUGAAAUUUCUCACUGCAUGAAGCUGACACAUAUUCAAUCAAUUUAGUAUGUUUUGAAGUCAAGAAAAUGCAAUUGCAGGUUCUUUCUUCUUUUUGUGGUGUUCAUGCCAAAGAACCCAGCUGGGUGAGUUUUGGAACAUGGCACUGUGACACCUCGGGGUCCUAUCUGCAGUGUGCCAGCCACACAGACACCUUGCUUGUCAGUUCUUCCCCCCCACCCCUCAACAGCAGUUGCAGUGUUCACAGCUCCCCACUUCUCAGCUAUGGUUCUUUACAGGACAGUUGUCCCAUCAAAGUGAGGAUAAUGCAUAGCAGAUGAAGGGCGUGAUUUCAGUGAACUCUCCGCACAGGGAAAUGUGUAAAUUCUUCAGCUGGAGAGUUCAUUGUGUCUGCGUCAGUCAGCUGAGUGACUCUGUUGUGAUACUAAUGCAGGUCUGACUCUAGGUUUAAAGCCUGAAUUUAUAUAACUGAAAAACUCGGCACAUUUAUGUUGAGAGAAGUGAGUAAUUUUUGUUUUCUUAAGCUUCACCUGAUUUAAAAGCUUUUCUCCUUCAUUCUAUUUCCCUCCUCUUCUGUUCUUGCGUAUCUGUUUUGACAUGCUACCUCACAAAUAACUGAUCCUCUCUUUCUUCAUAGUAAAGAGUUGUGGUUUUUCAAAAAAUCUGAAGAUGUAUCUCAC